rnacentral:rRNA from 1 species
UUGGAGGGCAAGUCUGGUGCCAGCAGCCGCGGUAAUUCCAGCUCCAAUAGCGUAUAUUAAAGUUGUUGCAGUUAAAAAGCUCGUAGUUGAAUUUCGGGAUCAAUGUUUCGGUCAUGCCGUUGGUAUGUACUGAUAUUAUUGAUUUCUCACCUUCUAAAGAACCGUAAUGCCAUUAAUUUGGUGUCACGGGGAAUUAGGACUGUUACCUUGAAAAAAUUAGAGUGUUUAAAGCAGGCUCACGCUUGAAUACAUUAGCAUGGAAUAAUGAAAUAGGACAUCCGAUUCUAUUUUGUUGGUUUCUAGGAUCGAUGUAAUGAUUAAUAGGGAUAGUUGGGGGCAUUAGUAUUCAAUUGUCAGAGGUGAAAUUCUUGGAUUUAUUGAAGACUAACUACUGCGAAAGCAUUUGCCGAGGAUGUUUUCAUUAAUCAAGAACGAAAGUUAGGGGAUCGAAGACGAUCAGAUACCGUCGUAGUCUUAACCAUAAACUAUGCCGACUAGGGAUCGGAUGAUGUUAAUUUUUUAAUGACUCAUUCGGCGCCUUACGGGAAAC